GCAGUACAAGAUUUAGGAAGAGGCGUAGUCAGAAAUGGAUCCUUAUCAUAUAUGAUGCAUUGUGGAGAGUAGAAUGAGAUAAGUUCCUGGACAUAGUGCUUUUAUGCUCCUUUUAAUCAUUUGAAAGUAUGGAAUGACGGUACUUUUCCAUCUUUGCUUCUAAUUAAUUGCUUUACUCUUUUUUCAUGUUUGCUUGUUUAGGUGUUUGAAGCAUUUGGUCAAGUGGUAGUCCAGAUGCCUCUUGAUGACAUUGGACAUUGCAAAGGUUUUGGCUUUGUGCAGCUACAACUACAAGCUUGUUUAAGAUACUUCUAAACUAGAAAAGUAAGAAGUUUAUAAAUGUGAUUGGAACAAGAAGAUUAACCAAAGAAUGCUUUGGUGAAGGACUAUACAGAUUGAGUCGAGAAUGAUCCGUGAGUGAGGUUAAUGUGCUAGAAGCAUGAUUGAACAGAUGGAACAAAGUAGAAGAUAAAAGAGCUUAAACAAUCAUUGAACAGGUUCACAUCUGCAUCCUGGAAUCCACACUAUAGAAUAUAACAACUUUGCUUUUGGGCCUUGAAUAUCUUAUCAGCAUUUCAUACGUUGAUGAUACCGAGGUUUUUAAGGUUUGUUUGGACUACUGGAAUUCCCUGGUGUCGCAGCUGUUUGAGCCAUGUCGAAGUUUGGAUAAUCCUGCGGCUUCUGCAAACUUGAUGAGACGUCAGGUGUUGUGAAACUUGUGAUAUGGCUCUUGGAAUGUUAAAAUCAAGAAUUGGCGAUUCUCUUUCCCCAUUAAAUAAUUUUUCUCACAAGAUUUGACCUAGCAUCUUAAUAGAAUGCUUUAUUUUUUGAUGUUGCUCCUUUUGUUCUUAAUGUUCACAAGAAUACCACUAUCUGUUUAGCAUGUUAUCAUUGGAUUAAGAAUUAAUACUUGAUUGUGAAAGUGACUAAUUAAAUUUGUAAAAUCAAUAAUGUGAUUAGCUGUGAUCACAACCAUCCAA